CAGCGCUAGACUGACUUGAUUUAUAGAUUUGCCACUAUCGCCAUCUUACGGCAAGAACUCUGGGUGAAGAUUCGAUUAAAAAAAUGGCCUAGGCGCUGUAGUCACAACGACCUGGAAGUCAUUUCGCAACUCGCAACACCAAACCUAGGAGCACCUGCCGAAGACGAUAUGAUUUUAAAUGGGGGUAACCCCGGUUGCUUCAACGCGAGUCCUUGUGAGCCACCACAGUCCGUGGCUCCAUCAUCAUCCAUCCCGUGGUCAUAUUAAUUGACGUAGAUUGCAUAGUUAGCGUGCGAUUGAACGACAACAUCCGUGGCAAAAGUAGAGACACUCACGCUAGAACGCGAGAGCGCGCGCGCGCGUUGGAAAACCGUUUUUUAAUGACCCGUUCCUGGCCGGCCACCAACGGACGCCAACGCCAACUGCAUGUCGGUUGGCCGUAUCAUCCGCCUGUGGUUUGCGGCUAGUGGGCGCUACCAGGGCGAGGGAAUUCUGUGCACCCUUUCCCCAGUGAGCUCGGGAGAAUUAAUGCACAGAUAGUCGCACGUCAAAUGAUUUGCCAUUUAUGUAAGAAUUUGAAAUCUUCCGAAACGCUAACGGCUCUGACUCAUUGCGUCACGGUGCGUUCCGGCGGCUGGUGUGUCUCCGGUGUGGGAAAAAAUGAUUCGCCACCACCCACACGAGUGCCGUUGGGU